rnacentral:misc_RNA from 1 species
AGCAGCCGCGGUAAUUCCAGCUCCAAUAGCGUAUAUUAAAGUUGUUGCAGUUAAAAAGCUCGUAGUUGAAUUUCGGGAUCAAUAUGUUGGUCGUGCCUCGGUACGUACUAGCAUAUUGGUUUCUCCUUUCUGAGGAACCAUGAUGUCAUUUAUUUGGUGUCGUGGGGAAUCAGGACUGUUACUUUGAAAAAUUAGAGUGUUUAAAGCAGGCUCACGCUUGAAUACAUUAGCAUGGAAUAAUGAAAUAGGACGUUUGAUUCUAUUUUGUUGGUUUCUGGGAUCGACGUAAUGAUUAAUAGGGAUAGCUGGGGGCAUUAGUAUUCAAUUGUCAGAGGUGAAAUUCUUGGAUUUAUUGAAGACUAACUACUGCGAAAGCAUUUGCCAAGGAUGUUUUCAUUAAUCAAGAACGAAAGUUAGGGGAUCGAAGACGAUCAGAUGCCGUCGUAGUCUUAACCAUAAACUAUGCCGACUAGGGAUCGGAUGAUGUUAAUUUUUAAUGUACUCAUUCGGUACCG